GCGGGGGUCGGAUAGCGGUCAAUUCCGCCAGCUUGAGGGGCUGGUCCCUUAGUGGGUUCGCAGGUUCAAAUCCUGCCUUCCGCA
rnacentral:tRNA from 1 species